CAAUAGCGUAUAUUAAAGUUGUUGCAGUUAAAAAGCUCGUAGUUGGAUUUCUGGUGGGAGCGAUCGGUCUGGCGCUUAGCGCGAGUACUUGCAUCGUCUCCGGCCAUCCUUGGGGAGAGUCUGUCUGGCAUUAAGUUGUCGGGCAGAGGAUCCUCAUCGUUUACUGUGAAAAAAUUAGAGUGUUCAAAGCAGGCUUAUGCCGUUGAAUAUAUUAGCAUGGAAUAAUAAGAUAGGACUUUGGUACUAUUUUGUUGGUUUGCGCACCAAAGUAAUGAUUAAUAGGGACAGCUGGGGGUAUUCGUAUUCCGUUGUCAGAGGUGAAAUUCUUGGAUUUAUGGAAGACGAACUACUGCGAAAGCAUUUACCAAGGAUGUUUUCAUUAA
rnacentral:rRNA from 1 species